UGGGGAAUAUUGGGCAAUGGGCGAAAGCCUGACCCAGCAACGCCGCGUGAGGGAAGAAGGGUUUCGGCUCGUAAACCUCUGUCCUAUGGGACGAAGGAAGUGACGGUACCAUAGGAGGAAGCCCCGGCUAACUACGUGCCAGCAGCCGCGGUAAUACGUAGGGGGCGAGCGUUGUCCGGAAUGAUUGGGCGUAAAGGGCGCGUAGGCGGCCUGCUAAGUCUGGAGUGAAAGUCCUGCUUUCAAGGUGGGAAUUGCUUUGGAUACUGGUGGGCUGGAGUGCAGGAGAGGAAAGCGGAAUUACCGGUGUAGCGGUGAAAUGCGUAGAGAUCGGUAGGAACACCAGUGGCGAAGGCGGCUUUCUGGACUGAAACUGACGCUGAGGCGCGAAAGCGUGGGGAGCAAACAGG
rnacentral:rRNA from 2 species